UACAGAGGUGCCAAGCGUUAGGCGGAAUUACUGGGCGUAAAGGGCGCGUAGGCGGUUUAUUAAGUUGGAUGUGAAAACUCUGGGCUUAACCCAGAGCCUGCAUUCAAAACUGAUAGGCUAGAGUUCUGGAGGGGAUAGCGGAAUUCCUGGUGUAGCGGUGAAAUGCGUAGAUAUCAGGAGGAACACCGGUGGCGAAGGCGGCUAUCUGGACAGAAACUGACGCUGAGGCGCGAAAGCUAGGGGAGCAAACAGG
rnacentral:rRNA from 1 species